UGGGGAAUAUUGGACAAUGGGCGCAAGCCUGAUCCAGCCAUGCCGCGUGAGUGAUGAAGGCCCUAGGGUUGUAAAGCUCUUUCACCGGUGAAGAUAAUGACGGUAACCGGAGAAGAAGCCCCGGCUAACUUCGUGCCAGCAGCCGCGGUAAUACGAAGGGGGCUAGCGUUGUUCGGAUUUACUGGGCGUAAAGCGCACGUAGGCGGACUAUUAAGUCAGGGGUGAAAUCCCGGGGCUCAACCCCGGAACUGCCUUUGAUACUGGUAGUCUUGAGUUCGAGAGAGGUGAGGGGAAUUCCGAGUGUAGAGGUGAAAUUCGUAGAUAUUCGGAGGAACACCAGUGGCGAAGGCGGCUCACUGGCUCGAUACUGACGCUGAGGUGCGAAAGCGUGGGGAGCAAACAGG
rnacentral:rRNA from 1 species